rnacentral:tmRNA from 1 species
GGGGGCGAAAGGUUUCGACCGGGUAGCUAGAGGCAAAAGGUUGCACUCUGAGGUUGUCAGGAGGCCUCAUAAAAAACCUGGCAAAAACUUAAAUGCUGAUAGAGAAUUAGCAUUGGCUGCAUAAAAACAGCCGCGUCCUUUCAAUCCUCGCCUGCGGGGUUGGAAUGGGCGAACAAUAGCAGGAUAGUUUAGCCUUUUUGCUCAACGAAGGCUAAGCGAAAACUUAGUUUGAGAUAGUCGUCUUAAAAGCAUGUCUAUCGGCGUUUAAUUCGACAAAAUUAAAAGAUAGACUAUGUGUGUAGAAGCCUUUGCUGAAAUACUUUGGGACGCGGGUUCGAUUCCCGCCGCCUCCACAA